rnacentral:rRNA from 1 species
UGCCUCCUACGGGGCGCAGCAGUGGGGAAUAUUGCACAAUGGGGGAAACCCUGAUGCAGCGACGCCGCGUGAGUGAAGAAGUAUUUCGGUAUGUAAAGCUCUAUCAGCAGGGAAGAAGUUGACGGUACCUGAGUAAGAAGCCCCGGCUAACUACGUGCCAGCAGCCGCGGUAAUACGUAGGGGGCAAGCGUUAUCCGGAUUUACUGGGUGUAAAGGGUAUGCAGGCGGCUGAGUAAGACAGAUGUGAAAUCCCCGGGCUUAACCUGGGAACCGCAUAUGUGACUGCUUGGCUAGAGGGCGUCAGG